GACGUGCUAAUCUGCGAUAAGCGUCGGUAAGGUGAUAUGAACCGUUAUAACCGGCGAUUUCCGAAUGGGGAAACCCAGUGUGUUUCGACACACUAUCAUUAACUGAAUCCAUAGGUUAAUGAGGCGAACCGGGGGAACUGAAACAUCUAAGUACCCCGAGGAAAAGAAAUCAACCGAGAUUCCCCCAGUAGCGGCGAGCGAACGGGGAGCAGCCCAGAGCCUGAAUCAGUAUGUGUGUUAGUGGAAGCGUCUGGAAAGGCGCGCGAUACAGGGUGACAGCCCCGUACACAAAAAUGCACAUGCUGUGAGCUCGAUGAGUAGGGCGGGACACGUGGUAUCCUGUCUGAAUAUGGGGGGACCAUCCUCCAAGGCUAAAUACUCCUGACUGACCGAUAGUGAACCAGUACCGUGAGGGAAAGGCGAAAAGAACCCCGGCGAGGGGAGUGAAAAAGAACCUGAAACCGUGUACGUACAAGCAGUGGGAGCACGCUUAGGCGUGUGACUGCGUACCUUUUGUAUAAUGGGUCAGCGACUUAUAUUCUGUAGCAAGGUUAACCGAAUAGGGGAGCCGAAGGGAAACCGAGUCUUAACUGGGCGUUAAGUUGCAGGGUAUAGACCCGAAACCCGGUGAUCUAGCCAUGGGCAGGUUGAAGGUUGGGUAACACUAACUGGAGGACCGAACCGACUAAUGUUGAAAAAUUAGCGGAUGACUUGUGGCUGGGGGUGAAAGGCCAAUCAAACCGGGAGAUAGCUGGUUCUCCCCGAAAGCUAUUUAGGUAGCGCCUCGUGAAUUCAUCUCCGGGGGUAG
rnacentral:rRNA from 1 species